UGGGGGAUAUUGGACAAUGGGGGAACCCUGAUCCAGCGACGCCGCGUGAGUGAAGAAGUAUUUCGGUAUGUAAAGCUCUAUCAGCAGGGAAGAAAGAAAUGACGGUACCUGAGUAAGAAGCCCCGGCUAACUACGUGCCAGCAGCCGCGGUAAUACGUAGGGGGCAAGCGUUAUCCGGAAUUACUGGGUGUAAAGGGAGCGUAGACGGUAAAGCAAGUCUGGAGUGAAAGGCUGGGGCCCAACCCCGGGACUGCUCUGGAAACUGUUAAACUGGAGUGCAGGAGAGGCAGGCGGAAUUCCUAGUGUAGCGGUGAAAUGCGUAGAUAUUAGGAGGAACACCAGUGGCGAAGGCGGCCUGCUGGACUGUAACUGACGUUGAGGCUCGAAAGCGUGGGGAGCAAACAGGAUUAGAUACC
rnacentral:rRNA from 1 species